UACGGGGGGGGGCAAGCGUUGUUCGGAAUUACUGGGCGUAAAGGGCUCGUAGGCGGCCAACUAAGUCAGACGUGAAAUCCCUCGGCUUAACCGGGGAACUGCGUCUGAUACUGGAUGGCUUGAGGUUGGGAGAGGGAUGCGGAAUUCCAGGUGUAGCGGUGAAAUGCGUAGAUAUCUGGAGGAACACCGGUGGCGAAGGCAGGUCUCUGGGCUGACACUGACGCUCAUGCACGAAAGCGUGGGGAGCGAACAGG
rnacentral:rRNA from 1 species